UUCUGCAGAAUAUUCAGUUCUCUAUCCUCUCAAGUACAUUUCGCGUUUAUUCAAAAUCAAUUUUUCUCAUUAAACAUCUUUCAGUUUAAAAAUUUAUAAAUCUCGAGCGUAUAUUGUAGAGAAAUGUUUUCGUGGAUUUUUCUUGUGACCUUUAUUCUCUCGACGGCUGCAAAUGUCAUCCAGGAUGUCACCAUAGGAUCCGCUCAGGUCGCAGAAAAGCUGAAGGGUGGCUGUCCUGAAAGCUUGAAUUUAACAACGCUGAACAACGGGAAGAAAUACUACUUUUCAACAGGAUCAAAAAAUUAGUUCGACUCUAAACAAUUCUGCGAGGCAAAGGAAAUGCACUUGGCAUCGCCGAAAACGAUGGAAGAACUGGCCGAGCUUCACAACAAAGCAAACACCGUCAAAGCAGGCAAGUAUAGCAAUUAAAUUUCACCAAUUUAAAUAUGCGAAUAUUUUUGCAGUGAUGUACUGGUGGGUGUCGCUGACGAACAGGGGCCACGCCAGAAAUGACUUCAGGUGGCACGACGGCGAGCGCGUCGCCCUCAACAGCACCCUGUGGAACAAUUCAGCGCAGCAGCCGGACCAGUAUCUCGAAGGAUCGUGCGCCUACAUCCACACCGCAGCCGCAGCCGCCGGAUUGUGGGACUUCUAUUGCCUCGACCCGGAAAAUUCUUUCAUCUGCGAGUGCAAUCACGUUUAAUCUCAAAAGAAUUAUUAAAAAAUUAUUUAUUCUUCAAUGAGAUUUAAUUUUAGCCACAAGAUUCUUAUAAAAAAAUAAUAAAACAUUAAUAUAUUAUAACGAGCGCUCUUGCAUUUGAAGUUCGGUAGACUGUUAAAAGUUGAAAAAAGGGGUCGCGGCGUCGGAAAAAUGGCAAAAAGUGGCCCUGGGACAAACCUCAGGGUAGCGUACCCUGAAAAAGGUCAUCAGGUGGUAGAGCUUGGUAAUACGAUUCGUUUGAGACUCCGUGAGUUCAAAUCCGUCAACCCGUCGAAUUUUAACAAAAAUAAAACCAUUAUCGCGAGUGCAAUGCCGAAAAAAAAAACGAAAAAAUCAAAAUUAAUUUUAUUAUGGCCGCGAGAAAGCUCGGAAUUGGUCUAAAAAUUUUCCCCGAUAUAUUCCGCAUCGAUUUGUAUUUCAGCGUGUCUAAGUUUUGUCCCGGACUGAAGAUAAAAUGGGUCGAAAAACACCCAAAAAACCUAGUUUUUUGGACUUAAAAGAAAGUCAGGUCUUUAAAAUCCCAAUUUUUUUUAAUUCGAUACCUAACCAUGGUAGAUAAGAUAGGCAUCAUAUCUUCGAAAAAUCGCGUUCAAGAGAAAUGAUUUUUGCAAACAUUUUCAACGAUUUUAGUUUUACCAAAAUUCGGACUUUUGAAAAAUUGCAGUAAUUUGCAAAAUGCUUCGAUUUUCAAAAACUAAACACGGGGCGACGUGCCUCCCCGAGGGGCUUCGACUGGAGCCGGAAUCAUCGGCCUCCAGCGCAUAGGGCCCCUCCCAGGCCCUGAAAACCACAAUUUUGUAAAGUCACAUAACACGUUUUUGAGCCGUUAAAAUUCAACAACUCGGUUCCUAUGGGUCGUAGAGAGGAAAUCCAAUAUUUUUUAGACUCGUGGUGAAAUUUCGCGUAGAAUAGACUCCAAAAAUGCCCCCCAUCCUCCCCCUCAGGCUCAAAAGUCCCCAAAAUCCGCGCAAAAAGCCGUUUUUUCUGAUUUUUACAAUUUACCUGUAGGCUGGAGGGCGAUUUAAGAAAGGUCACGUAAAUCAUAUCUAUGAUAUUUGGCUAGUAAUUCAGUAAACGUCCUGAGCAUGCGGAGAAUUCCCAUUUUCUGAAUACCUGUGUUGCUUCGAAACGCGCAUUUUUUUUGGCAGGCCUGAAAGUCGGUCGACGCAACGAAUUUUCAUCUCCCAGCCGCUACUGCAGGUAUUUAUUUUAAUUAUUUUCCCUUUUAGUCUUCAUUUGCUCUGAAUCUGCGUAGAAUUUAAUCGGUUGAGAAUGGAGGAGAGUGAGCCGCAUCGGUGUCCGUUGUGCGGAAAGCGGCUUUUCGCGCCGCUGCUGCUGGCGCACCACCUACGAAACGUGCACGACGUGGCCGACGCCAAAAUCGCCAGUUGCCGCCGAUGCCGAGUCUUCUUCCGCAACCU